CCACGGUCCCACUCCUGGGAAGAGCGGCUCUGUACGAGGCGCAGGGCAAGUUGCCUGAGCCGAAAUCCCCUCUGACCUUGGAACACGACGGACAGAAAAACGACAACAACAAACAACAAAAGCUUUCCAACUGAUGCAAAUCAGACGGGAAGUGUCUUGAGGAAAAUUUAGAAAUGUAAGGUUUGCCACUGGUUCGGGGGAUUCGAAAAUUCUAAAACUAACAGAGAAUGAAAAUGCUGCCUUUAAUUUAGCAAAAUGUGAGAGAAGGAAGGAGAAAGGGAAAGCUUCUUAGCAGGACAGAGGCUGUUUCAGGGAACCCAGUCCUAACAACAGAAAGAGCCCAAGGUUUGCACAGGCAGUUCCUUUAGGUCCAAGACCUCCUGCAGGCGAGUCUUUGCCUGCCUCAGACAGGGGGUCUGGAGGCCAGUGCAGCACACGUUUCCUCCUGCCCGCUUGCCCAAGUGGCGGUACCAAACUGCAGGACGCGACAUCAGACAACGAGGAAGGGAGCAUCUUUGGCAUCGCCUUUGCUUGGUAGCCUGUAUUCAACACCGGGAAUGCAAGAAUAAAACACAACAGGGUGAGAGAGAUGUUCCCGUACCACGAUCCCCAGCCCCAGGUGCCAGCUGGAGCAGUGACGCUGGGCGUGCUUGCAGCUGCCCCAGAAGGAUGGCUUGGUGUUGGGGCUCACCAGGGGAUCCCCC
rnacentral:lncRNA from 1 species